GCGCUCACUUUGGAAACAUAUACACUAAAAUUGGAAUGAUACAGAGCAGGUUAGAUGCCCCUGCGUAAGGAUAACAUGCAAAUUUGUGAAGUGUUCCUUAUUUUU